rnacentral:lncRNA from 1 species
UAGCAAAGAGGCAGAGAAAUCAAAUCCAAACGACGACCAUAAUGUCCCUGGCCACGGACCCGCAGAACGCUGCCCAGGAGCAGACGUAUACUGUAGUAGGUCAUGAAUUAGCCAGUUACAAAACAGUUAAGCAUAUUUUAAAGAAAGGUAAAAGAAGGCCAUCAUAUAAGAGGCCCCCAACUAUCUUUGAUCACUUAAGAAACGUGAAAGACCGAUAUGGAAAAGAACAAGGAAUAGGGGUCUACGGUAUCCCAGUGGAGAACAAAGAAGAUCAAAGGAAUGAGAUAUAUAUAGGAGCCACAGCCAGAAACCUUAAGACUAGAC